GGCAGGUGGGUAAAGUGUGCGACCUCUGCAGAGGGUAGUGAAACUGAUAUAUCAGUCGUGCUCAUGGUUAAGAGCAGCCUUGGGAUCCUCUUUGAUUAGAUAUACUCCGGAUGCACCUCAGAUGAUGACUCUAAUGAUGAUGGUUAAUGAUGGUGACUUUAAUUAUGUAUUCUAGUAUUUCCUCUCUGAGGAGGUACUUUUUGGGAUUAUAACUUGGAUUUUAUGAUAAAAUCUGGCUUCCACUAACAAUAAAUACCUGACCAACUAAAAGCAACUGCUUGAGCCUAACCCCACAUAAAAGCUAGUCCACUUCAGCCAAACGGGGCAUUUGCUGAGUACGUUGAUGUGUACUCAUCCUUGCUUUACCACAAAACACCAGGUUGUCCACAUUGCAACCACUGCUCAGGAGAAGACGAAGCCGUGGAAGGAGACUUCCAGGAGUUCCAAGAUUACGACGAGUUUUAGGCGUGGGUUGGCGGCAACCCCCAGUCAGCUGCCUGUGAAGGCCCUAUCUUUACUGUGUUUCGCUUAGCACUUUGAUUUACCCGUUAAGUUGAUGACUAUGUGGAUGUCUCUGACUCUGUGAUGUAAUAAGUUAAUACUCUUUUAUGUUAUUAUUCGAGUACUGUGCGAUGAUGUUCAUUUAUGUAAUCGCUGUGUACGUGAGUUCUGAUCCUGGCACGUACAUAGUUCGCAUUCGGUUUGCCUUCUGAAACCGGGUGUGACAUAAGUGGUAUCAAAGCCCGUGCUGACUGUAGGACCACUGACCUAGAGUAGCACUGGUUGUACUAAGGACUAUUGACCCUCAUUCUCACCUUGACCUCUGGUGUCACUUCAAAAGUCGGUCACCUCGACCAACCCUAUAUUAUACUAUAUAUAUAUAUUAUACCUUGCUAAAAUUUUAUUUUGUUCUGUCUAUGGUUUACUUACUUGUCAUACUAGUUCUGUCCUUACUCUUGUGCUUACGGUGUCUUUUGUAGAUGGCUCGUCAUAGACACACUGCUCGUAAGUCGGUGAUCCCUUUCCUGCCGUCUUGCCUUGUGGAGCGUCCUCUGCGCCGCACCGUGUCCGGUCAGUCAAGUCACCUGGAGAGGCUGCACCACCGCCUGCGUGAGGAGCAGGAGCGCCAGCGUCAGCAGAGGGAGCAGCAGGGCUCUUCCUCCCCACCUGAGUAGGAGGUGGAGUCUGUGAGGCGCCGCUCCCCUGUUCCCCAGCUGGAGGCGCCCCCUGCACCACCACAGGACGCCCCGGCUGUUGGAGGAGCUACUGGAGGAGGUCCUGGAGGAGACCCCGACGACGACGAUGACGGCUCAGACCAUAGCACUGAGUCCUCUGAGCCGCAGGAGGCGGAGGGAUGGGUCGCCCGACCCAUCACCCAUGAUGCCGCUCGCGGUUGUCACUUCCACGACGCACUCGACACCUUGUUGUGCCAGGCUUUCGAUCAGCACACCUGGUCGAUCGAGUAUCGUUGUGUAGUCUACCAGCACAGUCGCGGGAGGUACCCGGACCGCUGGGAGGCUACCUGCCUAGUACGCCGUCCGGAGGAUGAUCUCCGGGGUGCAGAGGCCUUUUCGGAGCAUUACUCCAUCUCCGAGAGGGACACUGAGGAGGCGGCUAUGCAGGACGCAGCACGGCGUGCACUCUCCCAGUACUGUUCCUUAUUCGGUGGGGUGGCCGACGGUCUUAACCUUAGGUACUACCCCCGCCGUCCUACUGGUAGCACAGAGAGUGUGGUUGUGUCACCUAUUGGUGAGGAUAACCCUAGGUUGAGCAGCACAGUCAACCUAGUCGCUGUGCUUAACACCGAGCUGGAUCACUCUCUGGACGAGCUGAGCAGGGCUCGAACGGAGAUUGCUGAGUUGCGUGCUGAGCUGGCAGAGCACCGUCACCAGGAGGGUGGUUCCCCCGCUCCUGUUGGGACUCAGCACCCUUACCGCUCGUCGCCACGUGGUCACCACACCUAUGGUUUCCCUGCCUAUAGGACCAGGAUAGAUCUGGAUCCUUAGAUCGUUAGCGUCGGAGUUUGUAAUAAAUUCUUAAGUCAGAUGUCUUAGUCUUAGAUAGUCAGUUUAGUUUGCUUAUCAGUUGCUUCCAUUCAGUUUAGUUUGCUUAUCAGUUGCUUCCAUGCUUGUUAUGAUGAACUUGUGCUGGAUUUGAAUCUUUGUAAUGACUGUUGCCAACAUGUGGGUUUCCCCUACAGCUUGGUUUAGCUAGUGAUGUUAAUGAAGUCAGUUAUUUAGUUGGGAAACCAUUUACUUCUACUUUCCUUUUUAUCUGAGAAGCUGUAUUGGAUCGUAAUGGGGAUCAGUGAAGUUCUUUGUUCACUCUGUAUGAUGAAGAAUUCUGUAUACUCUUUUCUUAUGCUGAAGGAUUGUAAGAUCAAUGCUGAUGUGUGAAUGUCUUCCACAGAUGUCUGACAACAGACGCCGAUGUGUUCAGCAAGAGCAGCGUGCCCAGCAGGAGGAACAUCGGAGGCAGCCUCCCCCGCCACCCCCGAUGAUAGUGGAGCAGAUGUUCUUGAUGCAAACUCAGGCAGUGCAGGCUAUUGGGCAGACUCUGGCAGCCAUGCAGCAGGCUCAACAGCAACCCCAACCCCAGUUACAAGUGCAGAUACCCCAGAUGCCACGGGACAAACGUGGCGAGUUCAUGAGAGGGCACCCUCCUACCUUCGCCCAUUCUGCUGACCCCAUGGAUGCAGAAGACUGGCUGCGUGCAGUGGAAAGGGAACUGCGCACCGCCCAAUGUGACGACAGGGAGAAGGUUCUGUAUGAUCCCCACCAGCUAAGGGGAGCAGCCCAGUCCUGGUGGGAGUCCUACCUCGCCACCCAUGCUGACCCCGAAGCCAUCACUUGGGAGGAAUUCAGCGAGAGUUUCCGCAGGUACCAUGUUCCAGAGGGACUGAUGAUCGUGAAGAAGGAGGAGUUUCUGGCUCUGAAGCAGGGACCCCUGUCUGUUACUGAAUACAGGGACAGGUUUCUGCAGCUAUCUCGUUAUGCACCUGAAGACGUCAACACUGAUGCUAAAAGGCAGUACAGGUUCAUGAGGGGUUUGGUGGAUCCCCUGCAUUACCAGCUGAUGAACCACACCUUCCCCACCUUCCAGCACCUGAUCGAUAGGGCAAUCAUGACCGAGAGGAAGCGCAAGGAAAUGGAAGAUCGGAAGCGCAAGAUGAGUGGACCGCAGUCUGGGAGCAACAGCCGCCCGCGCUUCUCAGGCAGUUCAUCUCAGCAAGGCAAGCAUGGUCACCCACAGGGAUAUCAGCAUCAAAGUCAGCGCCCAUACCAGCAGCAGUCUCAGAGGCAGUACCCACAGCAGCAGCAGUAUCGUCAGAACAGCCAGCAGGGAGGUAACCAGUAUCAGAGGCAGAACAACCAGGCACCUCGCCUUCCUGCCCCAGCAGCGAAUCAGAACAACCAAGCAGCCCCAGCACAAGGAGGAGGCGGAGGAUGCUUCCACUGUGGAGAGCAAGGUCACUGGGCGAUGCAUUGCCCAAAGAAGAUGGCGCAGCAGUAGACAAAUCCCAAUGCUCCAGCAAGGCAAGGUGUACCUCAACAGGCAGCAGGUAAUCGUGGCCAAGCGUACAACCGUGGAAAGGUGAACCACUUGGAGGCCGAAGCGAUCCAGGAUGCACCAGAUGUGGCAGUAGGUAUGUUCUCAGUCGAAUCUCAUCCCGCAAAAGUGCUAUUUGAUACUGGUGCAACUCAUUCAUUUGUCACCACAACAUGGGUAGAAAUGCAUAACAUCUCAAUAGAGUCAAUGAUGCCACCCAUGAGGGUUAAUUCGGUCGGUGGUAAAGUGCAAACAGAUAAGAUAUGCUCAAAUGUAAGGGUGGAAAUAAGGGGGAUAGGGUUCCAGUGACCUAAUAGUAAUAGACACCCUUGGGGUAGAUGUCAUCCUAGGGAUGAAUUGGUUAAUGAAAUAUGAAGCGAAUGUUAGCUGUGACAAGAGGACCGUAACAUUGAAGUCCCCGUCCGGAGAGGAGGUAGUGGCUGAGCUAAGGAUGCCUAAAACAGCGAAAGGUGAUUGUCACCAGAUUUCGGUUGAUAGCAAGGAGGCCAACCCGCUCGAGGCCAUCAGGGUUGUGUCAGAAUUUCCAGAUGUGUUUCCUGAGGAAUUAACGGGCAUGCCACCCGAGAGAAAAGUCGAAUUUGCCAUAGAGCUUAUUCCUGGCACCGCCCCCAUUUCUAAAAGAGCCUAUCGAGUGUCUGGACCAGAAUUGGUGGAACUCAAGAAGUAGAUAGAUGAGCUGUUAGAGAAGGGUUACAUCAGACCAAGUACCUCGCCUUGGGCCGCUCUAGUAUUGUUUGUAGAGAAAAAAGAUGGUACCAAAAGGAUGUGCAUAGAUUACAGAGCCCUGAAUGAAGUCACCAUUAAGAACAAGUACCCCCUGCCAAGAAUAGAAGAUCUGUUUGACCAGCUCAGAGGUGCCAGCGUAUUCUCGAAGAUAGAUCUGAGAUCAGGUUACCAUCAACUCAGAAUCCAACCCUCAAACAUACCGAAGACAACAUUCAUCACCAAGUAUGGGUUAUAUGAGUAUACAGUUAUGUCCUUUGAUCACCAAGUAUGGGUUAUAUGAGUAUACAGUUAUGUCCUUUGGUCUGACAAACGCACCAGCCUUCUUUAUGUAUCUGAUGAACAGUGUGUUCAUGGACUACCUAGACAAGUUUGUGGUAGUGUUCAUCGACAAUAUUCUCAUAUAUUCUCAAAGUGAGGAAGAACACGUGGAACAUUUGAAGAUGGUAUUGCAAAGGCUACAAGAGCAUCAGUUGUAUGCCAAGCUGAGUAAAUGCGAGUUCUGGAUUCAUGAAUUCUUGUUUUUGGGUCACAUCAUAAACCAAGAUGGGUUAGCUGUGGAUCCAAAGAAAGUAGCAGACAUUCUGAACUGGAAAGCACUGAAAGAUGUUCGUGGAAUCAAGAGUUUCAUUGGAAUGUCCGGAUACUAUAGGCGUUUCAUUGAAGGCUUUUCAAAGAUUGCUAGACCAAUGACAGCGUUGCUAGCGAAGAAAGUUGAGUUUAAGUGGACCCAAAAGUGCCAAGAGGCAUUUGAAGAACUGAAGAAUAGAUUGACUACAGCACCUGUGUUAGUUCUGCCUGAUGUUCACAAGCCAUUCUCGGUGUACUGCGAUGCUUCCUACACCGGAUUGGGAUGUGUGCUAAUGCAAGAAGGAAGAGUUGUAGCAUACUCAUCUCGACAGCUGAAGAUCCAUGAGAAAAAUUAUCCCACACACGACCUGGAGUUGGCAGCAGUGGUUCAUGCUUUAAAGACAUGGAGACAUUACCUGUAUGGGUAGAAGUGCGACAUCUACACAGAUCAUAAAAGUCUGAGAUACAUAUUCACCCAGUUAGAGUUAAACAUGAGGCAGCGAAGAUGGUUGGAAUUGAUCAAGGACUAUGAGUUGGAGAUACAUUACCAUCCAGGCAAAGCCAAUGUUGUUGCAGAUGCUCUGAGCAGGAAGAGUCAAGUCAAUAUGAUGGCCACGUACCCAAUGUCAUAUGAGUUAGCCAAGGAGUUCGACAGACUGAGUCUCGGUUUUCUGAACAGUACACAAGGAGUAACAGUGGAAUUAGAGCCCACCCUAGAGCAGGAGAUCAAAGAAGGGCAGAAGGAUGAUGAAAACAUCAACAAGAUCCGGCAGCUGAUCUUAGAAGGAAGAGGCAAAGACUUUCGAGAGGAUGAAGAGGGAGUAAUAUGGUUCAAGGACCGAUUGUGUGUUCCUGACAUCAAACCUAUUCGGGAGCUGAUCCUCAAGGAAGCUCAUGAGACAGCUUACUCCAUACACCCUGGAAGUGAAAAGAUGUAUCAGGAUCUAAAAAGGAGGUUUUGGUGGUAUGGCAUGAAAAGAGAAAUCGCAGAAUAUAUCGCCAUCUGUGAUAGCUGUCAAAGAACCAAAGCAGAGCAUCAGAGGCCCGCCGGACUGUUGCAGCCACUGCAAAUUCCUCAGUGGAAGUGGGAUGAGAUCGGGAUGGAUUUUAUAGUUGGCCUACCUCGUACCCGGGCCGGCUAUGAUUCCAUCUGGGUGGUUGUGGACCGCUUAACAAAAGUGGCCCAUUUCAUACCUGUGAAGACAACGUAUACCGGAGCAAUAUUAGCUGAGUUAUACAUGUCCCGGAUAGUCUGCCUACAUGGUGUGCCGAAGAAGAUAGUGUCAGAUCGAGGAACACAAUUCACCUCUCAUUUUUGGCAGCAGCUACAAGAAGCCUUGGGCACGCAUUUGAACUUCAGCUCGGCUUAUCACCCGCAGACAGACGGUCAGACUGAAAGAACUAAUCAGAUCCUAGAAGAUAUGUUGAGAGUCUGUGCGUUGCAAGACAAGUCAGGAUGGGACAAAAGGUUACCUUAUGCAGAAUUCUCCUACAACAAUAGUUACCAGGCCAGCUUGAAGAUGUCACCGUUUCAGGCGCUCUAUGGACGGAGUUGUAGGACUCCGCUGCAUUGGGACCAGCCUGGAGAGAGACAGGUGUUUGGCCCCGACAUUUUGCUUGAAGCCGAAGAGAAUAUCAAAAUGGUUCGGGAGAAUCUGAAGAUAGCACAAUCAAGGCAGCGAAGCUAUGCUGACAGAAGGAGAAGAGAACUGAGUUUUGAAGUGGGAGAUUACGUCUAUCUGAAGGUGUCGCCUAUCAGAGGAGUCAGAAGGUUCGGAGUCAAGGGCAAGCUAGCACCCCGGUACGUUGGACCAUAUCAGAUUCAAGCAAAGCAUGGAGAAGUGGCCUACCAGCUCAACCUACCAGAAAGUCUGUCGGCAGUGCACAAUGUGUUCCACGUGUCGCAAUUGAAGAAGUGUCUGCGAGUACCAGAAGAACAGUUGCCAGUGGAGGACUUGGAAGUCCAAGAGGAUCUGACAUACAUAGAGAAGCCAACGUAGAUUCUGGAGUUUGCAGACAGAGUCACCCUGUAACACCCGGCUUUAAGGAACAAAGCCAGGUGCAUCUCAUACAUGCGCCAAGAAGACAACAUAUAUAAUAACAGAGUGUAUAGAGAUAAAUGUCAUAAAACAUCAGAGAAUUUAUUACAUAGCGGAAGACUUAUUACAAAAUAACAUAAUAAAGAUAAAACGAACUAAGGAUCGUCGGCGCCAAAUGUCGACUGGGAAACGCCACCUAGAUCAGAUCGAACUCCUCAGUGUUAGGCGGCUCCUCCUGAACCACCUGAUCAUCUCCUGUGGGGGGGGGGUGUGAGACAGCAAGGGUGAGCUCACACAUGAUCAUCGCUCAACAAGUUGUGGGGAAUAAUGUGACACGAACUCACCAAAGGUGGGAGCUCAUGUGAAGUGUAAGGCUGAUCAAUGAUAGGGGUUAAAGCUGAGCAUUGCUUUUAAGUAGUUGGUCAAAAUUUUAUUAGCAGUUACUAAGUGUAAGUAAAUACCAAACCUUAAAUAAAGUAAUUGAACAAAUUAAUAAUAAACCCAUGCAUAUGCAAAUGACAAAAUUGAAUUUAAGUUCCAUAAUUUAAACAUCAGAGAGUCCUGAGCUGCUCAUGACCGUGAGCUCGGCUAGUAUACCAGUUUUACACUCUGCAGAGGUUGUACCCUUUACCCACAAGUCAUGUUACCCAUCUGCCAAGGGGUCAUGAAUCCCAUACACCUCUACCUAGGAAGCGCGGCAGGGCAACACUACGAGGCCUUUACAAAGUUCCACUAGCUUCCGAAAACCCGCUACAGUUUAUGGGAAGAUCCAGUACAGGGUUCCUGGCUGACCGCCAUCGCAGCAAAAUCAACCAGGGACCUCCCCGCACUGACCUCUCCCCUACUGCCCUUGCCCCUUUCGGGUAAGGUAGUCUUCCACUAGCUUUCCUAGUUAAUCAGCCAAGGGCGUCCCAUUAAACCCUUGUGGUGGCACGUGGUUCUCAAGUUAAGCUCUAUGUUCCAAUUAACAUUAAUGAACUUGACAUGAACAUAAACAGAAUAACAUAAAGAAUUGGAACAUAGAGGUAAUAAGUGAUUAUCCCAAAACCAUGUAAAGCAAUAGCAAACUAACCAAGUGAUUCAGGGGUAAACAAGGUAAUGAGAUAAACAAUUCUAGGGUGACCUAUUGGGUCCCAUCAAAAUUAACCUAUGCAUGGAUAAGUGAUAUUAAAGAGCAUUAUUAGGUAAAAAGUGGUCAAGGGCACAACUUGCCUUCAAUGAGCUCCUGCUCAGCUACUUCAAUCUGCUGCUCACCAUGAUCCUCAGCAACGGGCUCUUCUACUCGCCACAAUACAAACAAGCACAGGAUAUAGGGAAAAUUAACAUUACACCAAGCAUGUAAACAAAAUACACAGAGAUAUUCUACAUAUUAAAAUAAAAACCUAGGAACUGGAAUCAUAAUUUUCUGAGUUAUAGAUUUCGAGUUAUGCAUUUUCAAAAGUUUUAUGUGCUUUAAAUAGGAUUAAGUGAUAAAUAAAUUUCUUGCUGUUUUCAUGACAUAACAGAGACUCUAGAUGAUAAACAAGAAUAUAAUAAAAUUAUAGAAAUUGGAAUGGACUGAAAAGGAGUUAAAAUGCAUUUUCUAGGAAUUAAUUAAGUUGAAAAUCAUUUCCUAGAUAAUUUUCUCUGGUUUUAUUCAAGGUAUGGACUGCGCGUCAAAAACUGAGGAACUCAGGGUCUAUUGCGCAAGAACUCCUAAGACUCAGCUACACGGCCGAUGGACUGCGGGUUAUUUUUGUGAUUACAUAAGGUCUCUUAUGCAAAACUACAAGCCGAAGAGGUAUCUUUUAAUCUGAGCCGCCCGAUCCACCCUGGACGCGCCCUGGCCGCUUGAUCAAAGAUCAAGAGCCCAGAUUAGAAAAUGAAGAGGUAUGCAUCCAGAGCCCUAGGAUUUGAUAUCAAUGCUCUUGAUUUAAAACGCUAGGGUCACCCCUCGCCCCUCCAUUCAUCGAUGGACGGCCACGAUGAGCCAUGACUGAAGCGCCAUCCUACAACUGCGCAACCAUGAUCUGACGGCCAUAAAUCCUUCUUACCCAAAACUGCCUAGGAGUGGUCCGAUCGCCAACAAACGGUGACGAUAGAAUUCAAGCAAACGUUAUUUGAUAACCUAAUCCUGGGCGUUCAUCUAGCAUCCCACGGUUACCGCUCAUCUUCCCCUACAGAGCUGACCACGGCGGCGCUGUACCCCGGACGCGACUGAGUCCCGCCGGUGAGCUCGAUUCCCCGGCCCUUGAUGCCUUGCAGCUCAAUCUACUCCUUGCUACGCGAUGCGGUGCACAUCCCCAACACGAAUUCCACCAUCAUACCUCCGCUGUCGAAGAAUCGCGCCCUGUCGACGAGGUCUAGCGGUCCAGUGAUGCAAAUUGCUCGCCGGCGAGCAAUCCGCCGCGCAGCGCAGAUGGUCGGCCCCAAAUUGCCUCACGUAUGCACCCGCCGUGUUCCGUGGUCUUCGUCCCGGCCACAAUUGCGGCCAAAACUUCCCCGGGCCACGAUUCACCAAUGGCGAGCCCCACUUCACGCUCUCCGCGCCGCUCUCUCGCACACAGUGCUAUCGUCAGUGGUUAUCGCGGAGGUGGACGAGGAGCCAUUUAGGGUUUGCGGCGCUUGACUCUUAUAGUCCGAGGCCAACAAGGGGAGGAUACGCCGCAACGAUCCAACGCCAUGGCGGAGGUUUCGCGCGAGAGCGUUGCUGCGGAGAAGAAAACGCCGACACCGGGGCCCACAGGUCAGCGGUACACUGCGUGAGGGUCGGUGGAGCGCGCGCUGGUGAGGCCCUAGACGUAUGUCCCACAUGGCAGCGACACCCACGGGGAUGCACACCCAGGUUUGGCCGACAAACAUGGCCCACCGAUCAGUGUGUAGGUGGUGAGUGGCUUAUUGCGGGAGAAAAACUCGGAAAUGGGCCGCGCAGGGUUUGCUUCUGGUGGGCCGAAAUAGGUAUCUCGAGCCCAAUACGCCAUCCUCUCACUUUUCUUUUGUUUUUCUUUCUUUUUCUUUUGUUUUUUUUUUUAGAAUUCAAAGUUGAAUUUGAAUUUGGUUAUGAGAUUCACCUAUGAGUCCAUUAUAUAAAUUCACCUUAUUGUAGGAAUAAUAUAUUUUUUUAUUUACUCAUUUUUUUCCACAUAAUAUUUGCUUUCCUCUCUCUUCUACAUUCUAGAAUUUUCCUUUAGAUCUUAAAUUCCACUUUGGACUUUAAUAUUUUUCUUGUCACAUUUAUUAUUUUAUUUUGUCACCAUGUGCACACAAAAGAAAAUCCCAGCAUGAUGCAUAAUUUUAAUGGCAUAUAUUCUUUUUAUUAAUUAUUUGCUUUUGAAUAUGGUGUUCACCUGGGAUGAUGCAUAAAGGUUAAACCCACAUAAGGAGAAAUUAUUUCUCUAUUGGCAUUAUUUCUAGCAAUUUACAAAGUGGGUGUUACAAAUCCUACCCCCCUUAAAAAUAAUCUCGUCCUCGAGAUUUAAGAAGAACGAGAGAAAAGGUGGGGAAAAUCUAUACGAAGCUCUUCUUCUCUUUCCCAAGUUGCUUCAUCUUCACCGUGGUGACUCCAUUGUACUUUACACAUCUUUAUCACCUUAUUUCUCGUAACUCGAGUCAAUGUAUCCAAAAUCUUGAUCGGGUACUCCGUGUAAGUCAAAUCACCUUGAACACUGAGCUCUUCCAAGGGUAACUGUUCCUCGGGAACACGGAGACACUUCUUAAGUUGAGACACGUGGAACACAUUAUGCACAUCCGAUAGACUAGCAGGUAACUCAAGUUGGUAUGCCAUCUCUCCAACUCUCCUAAAGAUCAAAAAUGGUCCAAUAUAGCGUGGGGACAAUUUGCCCUUAACUUUGAAUCUCCUCAUUCCACGAAGUGGUGACACAUUGAGGUACACAUGAUUUCUUCUUCAAAUUCCAGUGGUCUUCUUCUAUUAUCUGCGUAGCUCUUUUGCCUGGUUUGAGCCACCCUCAAAUUCUCUCUAAUUAUACGAACUUGUUCUUCUGCUUCUUGAAUCAGUUCAGGCCCAAAGAACUGUCUCUCUCCAGUCUGAUCCCAAUACAAAGGAGUUCUGCACUUCCUCCCAUAUAAAGCUUCAAAAGGUGACAUCUUCAGACUGGCCUGAUAGCUAUUAUUAUAUGAGAACUCAGCAUAUGGUAGACUUUUAUCCCAACUCCCUCCAUGCUGAAAGGCACAUGCUCUCAACAUAUCCUCCAAUACUUGAUUAGUCCUUUCAGUCUGUCCAUCAGUUUGAGGGUGAUAAGCUGUACUAAAAUUCAACUUCGUACUCAUGUUCUCAUGAAAGCUUCUCCAAAAUCUUGAGGUAAACUGCGAACCUCGAUCAGACACGAUCUUCUUUGGUACUCCAUGUAAACACACAAUCCGAGCCAUAUACAACUCUGCUAGCUGAGAACCUUUAUAAGUAGUCUUGACAGGAAUAAAGUGAGCCACUUUAGUCAAUCUAUCCACAAUCACCCAUAUUGCAUCAUAUCCUUUCUGGGUGCGAGGCAAUCCAGUAAUAAAAUCCAUACCAAUCUCUUCCCAUUUCCACUCGGGUAUCUUCAGUGGAUGCAGUAGUCCAGCUGGCCUCUGGUGUUCAGCCUUAACUCUUUGACAUACAUCGCACAUAGCCACAUGUGCAGCCACAUCUCUUUUCAAUCCAUGCCACCAAUACUUCCGCUUCAAAUCCUGAUACAUCUUAGUACUACCAGGAUGAAUAGAAUAAUCCGAGUCAUGGGCCUCCUUCAAUAUAGUCUCUCGAAGGCUUUUAAUAUCAGGAACACACAUUCUGUCCUUGAACCAUACAGUGCCUUGCUCAUCUUCCGUGAAUUCCGGAACUCGACCUUCAGUAAUCAGAUCCUUAAUCUCUUUUAUUUUAGCAUCACCAAUCUGUCCUUUGCGGAUCUCUUGCUCCAAAGUAGGUUCCACAUCAAUAGUAACUCCUUCAGUAUGAGCAACUAUCCCCAGGUUAAGUUUCCUGAAAUCCUCAACAAUCUCAUCGGGUAGCUGGGCAACAAUAGCUGAAUGAACAUGCUCCUUGCGACUCAAGGCAUCUGCAACCAAAUUUGCCUUGCCCGGGUGAUAGUGAAUCUCCAAAUCAUAAUCCUUAAUAAGCUCCAACCAACGGCGUUGCCUAAGGUUGAGAUCCUUCUGAGUGAAUAUAUACUUCAAACUCUUAUGAUCCGUAUAUACUUGGCACUUAGUCCCCAUAAUGUAGUGUCUCCAAAUCUUAAGUGCAUGCACAACUGCUGCUAGCUCCAAGUCAUGAGUGGGGUAGUUCAACUCAUGUUUCCACGUAGGUGAUCACAUGUCCUUCUUGCAUGAGCACACAUCCCAAGCCUUGGCCACAUGCAUCACAAUAGAUAUCAAAUCCUUUCUAUAGGUCUGGCAUAACCAAUACUGGUGGCGACAUCACCCUCUUCUUCAAUAGAUCAAAGUUGUUUUGACACUUCUCGUCCCACUUAAAUUCUCUUCCUUUCUCCAAAAGCGAAGUCAUAGGCUUAGCAAUCUUAGAAAAUCCUUCAAUAAAUCUCCGAUAAUAUCCUGCUAGUCCCAAGAAACUCCGAAUCUCAGUAACUGUAGUGGGUACUCUCCACUCCAUUAUCUCCUUAACUUUAGCAGGAUCCACUGAAAUUCCUCCAUUAGAAAUAAUAUGUCCAAGAAAUGGCACCUUGCCAAUCCAAAACUCGCACUUGCUGAACUUGGCAUAGAGUUGAUUAUCUCGUAACUUCUGUAGCACCAACCUCAGAUGUUCUUCAUGAUCGUUAUCACUCUGAGAAUAAAUGAGAAUAUCGUCGAUGAAUACCACGACGAAUCUGUCCAAAUACUCCAUAAACACCUUGUUCAUCAAGUUCAUAAAAUAAGCUGGUGCAUUGGUUAAUCCAAACGACAUAACAGUAAACUCAUAUAAUCCAUAUCGAGUCGAGAAAGCCGUCUUGGGAAUAUCCGAUGGUCAAUUCCUCAUCUGAUGGUAACCGGAGCGGAGAUCAAUCUUCGAGAAUACUCUAGCACCUCGCAUCUGAUCAAAUAAAUCCUGAAUACGGGGCAACGGAUACUUGUUCUUCACCGUAACAUCAUUAAGAGAUCUAUAAUCCACACCCAUCCGUUGCGAUCCAUCCUUCUUCUGUACAAACAAGACCGGUGCUCCCCAAGGUGAGGAACUCGGACGAAUGUACCUCGCUUCUUGUAACUCAGUUAACUGCUUCUUAAGCUCCUUUAGUUCUUCUAUGGACAUCCUGUAUAGCCGUUUAGAAAUAGGAGUAGUCUCAGGUAAGAGAUCAAUGACAAACUCAACUUCCGUAUCUGGUGGCAUCCCUGAUAACUCCUCUUGAAAGACAUCCGGAAGAUCUCUAACUGCACGGAUGUUGUCACCCACAAACUUCUCGUCUUCCAAGAAUGUUGUUAGACUGAUGGUGGUAGUUACUACAACUUCAACUUCAAAUCUUUGUCCUUUGGAACUGGUGAGUUCUACAGUUCCCUUAGCACAGCGUAUAUACUGCCUUUGUCCUUCUUAACCACGACAUACCAAGGAUCACGUCUAUAGUGCUCUCUUCUAACACUAUAGGGGUAGGCCAUCUGGGUUAGGAACACAGGGUAAGAAAGAAAGGAUUGUAGACAAGGCAGGUGAUUACGAAUUAUGUUACUUUGGGGGAUUCAUUAGCUAAGUGUGUUGCCUACUAAGGCUAAUUCAUUACCUUAUAGUGGUACAUGCUAAGAUGCCCAACUAUAAUGUUUCAAUCAAUCAAAGAAGCAAAUCAAGCAUUUAUCAUCAGAUCAAUCAACCAACAUUUUUAAUAGAGAAAAUAAUUUUAAUUUUUGUCUUAGGUCUCCUAUCUCUUAAAAAGUUCAUAAAUGUACGAUUCCAAGGUGUGAAAUCCAUCUGGUCUCAGAGUAGAAAAGGUAAGAAUGAUCAGAGUAGAACAGUAGAAGGUGAGACAUGAUCAAGAUAAGUAUAGAAUGAAUCAGAGUAAGGUAAGUAUAGAAUGAAUCAGAAUAAGAUAAGUAGGUAAAGGUUUUGUCCAUUUCUAUCUAGGUUUCGUCCUACAGUCAACAUUUCCUCUGAUACCACUUCUGUAACACCCGGCUUUAAGGAACAAAGCCAGGUGCAUCUCAUACAUGCGCCAAGAAGACAACAUAUAUAAUAACAGAGUGUAUAGAGAUAAAUGUCAUAAAACAUCAGAGAAUUUAUUACAUAGCGGAAGACUUAUUACAAAAUAACAUAAUAAAGAUAAAACGAACUAAGGAUCGUCGGCGCCAAAUGUCGACUGGGAAACGCCACCUAGAUCAGAUCGAACUCCUCAGUGUUAGGCGGCUCCUCCUGAACCACCUGAUCAUCUCCUGUGGGGGGGGGGUGUGAGACAGCAAGGGUGAGCUCACACAUGAUCAUCGCUCAACAAGUUGUGGGGAAUAAUGUGACACGAACUCACCAAAGGUGGGAGCUCAUGUGAAGUGUAAGGCUGAUCAAUGAUAGGGGUUAAAGCUGAGCAUUGCUUUUAAGUAGUUGGUCAAAAUUUUAUUAGCAGUUACUAAGUGUAAGUAAAUACCAAACCUUAAAUAAAGUAAUUGAACAAAUUAAUAAUAAACCCAUGCAUAUGCAAAUGACAAAAUUGAAUUUAAGUUCCAUAAUUUAAACAUCAGAGAGUCCUGAGCUGCUCAUGACCGUGAGCUCGGCUAGUAUACCAGUUUUACACUCUGCAGAGGUUGUACCCUUUACCCACAAGUCAUGUUACCCAUCUGCCAAGGGGUCAUGAAUCCCAUACACCUCUACCUAGGAAGCGCGGCAGGGCAACACUACGAGGCCUUUACAAAGUUCCACUAGCUUCCGAAAACCCGCUACAGUUUAUGGGAAGAUCCAGUACAGGGUUCCUGGCUGACCGCCAUCGCAGCAAAAUCAACCAGGGACCUCCCCGCACUGACCUCUCCCCUACUGCCCUUGCCCCUUUCGGGUAAGGUAGUCUUCCACUAGCUUUCCUAGUUAAUCAGCCAAGGGCGUCCCAUUAAACCCUUGUGGUGGCACGUGGUUCUCAAGUUAAGCUCUAUGUUCCAAUUAACAUUAAUGAACUUGACAUGAACAUAAACAGAAUAACAUAAAGAAUUGGAACAUAGAGGUAAUAAGUGAUUAUCCCAAAACCAUGUAAAGCAAUAGCAAACUACCCAAGUGAUUCAGGGGUAAACAAGGUAAUGAGAUAAACAAUUCUAGGGUGACCUAUUGGGUCCCAUCAAAAUUAACCUAUGCAUGGAUAAGUGAUAUUAAAGAGCAUUAUUAGGUAAAAAGUGGUCAAGGGCACAACUUGCCUUCAAUGAGCUCCUGCUCAGCUACUUCAAUCUGCUGCUCACCAUGAUCCUCAGCAACGGGCUCUUCUACUCGCCACAAUACAAACAAGCACAGGAUAUAGGGAAAAUUAACAUUACACCAAGCAUGUAAAUAAAAUACACAGAGAUAUUCUACAUAUUAAAAUAAAAACCUAGGAACUGGAAUCAUAAUUUUCUGAGUUAUAGAUUUCGAGUUAUGCAUUUUCAAAAGUUUUAUGUGCUUUAAAUAGGAUUAAGUGAUAAAUAAAUUUCUUGCUGUUUUCAUGACAUAACAGAGACUCUAGAUGAUAAACAAGAAUAUAAUAAAAUUAUAGAAAUUGGAAUGGACUGAAAAGGAGUUAAAAUGCAUUUUCUAGGAAUUAAUUAAGUUGAAAAUCAUUUCCUAGAUAAUUUUCUCUGGUUUUAUUCAAGGUAUGGACUGCGCGUCAAAAACUGAGGAACUCAGGGUCUAUUGCGCAAGAACUCCUAAGACUCAGCUACACGGCCGAUGGACUGCGGGUUAUUUUUGUGAUUUCAUAAGGUCUCUUAUGCAAAACUACAAGCCGAAGAGGUAUCUUUUAAUCUGAGCCGCCCGAUCCACCCUGGACGCGCCCUGGCCGCUUGAUCAAAGAUCAAGAGCCCAGAUUAGAAAAUGAAGAGGUAUGCAUCCAGAGCCCUAGGAUUUGAUAUCAAUGCUCUUGAUUUAAAACGCUAGGGUCACCCCUCGCCCCUCCAUUCAUCGAUGGACGGCCACGAUGAGCCAUGACUGAAGCGCCAUCCUACAACUGCGCAACCAUGAUCUGACGGCCAUAAAUCCUUCUUACCCAAAACUGCCUAGGAGUGGUCCGAUCGCCAACAAACGGUGACGAUAGAAUUCAAGCAAACGUUAUUUGAUAACCUAAUCCUGGGCGUUCAUCUAGCAUCCCACGGUUACCGCUCAUCUUCCCCUACAGAGCUGACCACGGCGGCGCUGUACCCCGGACGCGACUGAGUCCCGCCGGUGAGCUCGAUUCCCCGGCCCUUGAUGCCUUGCAGCUCAAUCUACUCCUUGCUACGCGAUGCGGUGCACAUCCCCAACACGAAUUCCACCAUCAUACCUCCGCUGUCGAAGAAUCGCGCCCUGUCGACGAGGUCUAGCGGUCCAGUGAUGCAAAUUGCUCGCCGGCGAGCAAUCCGCCGCGCAGCGCAGAUGGUCGGCCCCAAAUUGCCUCACGUAUGCACCCGCCGUGUUCCGUGGUCUUCGUCCCGGCCACAAUUGCGGCCAAAACUUCCCCGGGCCACGAUUCACCAAUGGCGAGCCCCACUUCACGCUCUCCGCGCCGCUCUCUCGCACACAGUGCUAUCGUCAGUGGUUAUCGCGGAGGUGGACGAGGAGCCAUUUAGGGUUUGCGGCGCUUGACUCUUAUAGUCCGAGGCCAACAAGGGGAGGAUACGCCGCAACGAUCCAACGCCAUGGCGGAGGUUUCGCGCGAGAGCGUUGCUGCGGAGAAGAAAACGCCGACACCGGGGCCCACAGGUCAGCGGUACACUGCGUGAGGGUCGGUGGAGCGCGCGCUGGUGAGGCCCUAGACGUAUGUCCCACAUGGCAGCGACACCCACGGGGAUGCACACCCAGGUUUGGCCGACAAACAUGGCCCACCGAUCAGUGUGUAGGUGGUGAGUGGCUUAUUGCGGGAGAAAAACUCGGAAAUGGGCCGCGCAGGGUUUGCUUCUGGUGGGCCGAAAUAGGUAUCUCGAGCCCAAUACGCCAUCCUCUCACUUUUCUUUUGUUUUUCUUUCUUUUUCUUUUGUUUUUUUUAGAAUUCAAAGUUGAAUUUGAAUUUGGUUAUGAGAUUCACCUAUGAGUCCAUUAUAUAAAUUCACCUUAUUGUAGGAAUAAUAUAUUUUUUUAUUUACUCAUUUUUUUUCCACAUAAUAUUUGCUUUCCUCUCUCUUCUACAUUCUAGAAUUUUCCUUUAGAUCUUAAAUUCCACUUUGGACUUUAAUAUUUUUCUUGUCACAUUUAUUAUUUUAUUUUGUCACCAUGUGCACACAAAAGAAAAUCCCAGCAUGAUGCAUAAUUUUAAUGGCAUAUAUUCUUUUUAUUAAUUAUUUGCUUUUGAAUAUGGUGUUCACCUGGGAUGAUGCAUAAAGGUUAAACCCACAUAAGGAGAAAUUAUUUCUCUAUUGGCAUUAUUUCUAGCAAUUUACAAAGUGGGUGUUACACACCCGGAGGAACACCAUCAGAAUGUGCAAAGUCAGAUGGGGUCACCACUCUGAGGAAGAAGCAACCUGGGAACGAGAAGAUGAUCUGAAAGCCAAAUACCCUGAACUCUUUGCUGACCAACCUUGAAUCUCGGGGCGAGAUUCUUUUAAGGGGGAUAGGUUUGUAACACCCGGAAUCUAGGGGUAUAAAAAAUCUCUUCUACAAUACUCACCAAGUUCAGGUUUUAAUAAAAAAACCUAAGGGAACAAUGGUUGUUGCAUCCUGUUGGAAGGCAUUUAUUUUUUGUUUGAUGAAUGGUUUGCUUGAUCUUUCAUUUAAUCAUUAAUUUGCACAUAAUGUCAAACUGAAAUAAAUAGAAAAGAGAAAGAAAAGAGAAAGAAAAGGAGAAAUAGAAAUCAGCCACCUCCCCUCCCCUGGCCCAUUUCGGCCGGCCCAGCCGCCCCCUCCCCCCUCUCUUCCCCCCCUCGCUCGGCCCAGCGCCAUCUCCCCCUCGUGGGCCCGCGCGUCGCGGCCCAGCUCCCACCGCGCCAGCCCAGCUCCUAGCCCCGCGCCUGGCCCAGCGCGCGCGCUUGCCGCGCCCCUAGCCCAGUUGCGCGCCGCGGCCCAGCGCCUGCGCCAGCGCCAGCGCACACGCGUCCGCGCUCCUCGCGCGUGGAGCGCCUGCCGCCGCCGCUGCUCACCUAGGGCCCGCGCGUCAGGGAGCCGGUGCCUACUGUACAUCUUCCCAAACGGUUCUGCGCAGUUUCCUCGCCCACGACACUCCCAAAACUGAACCGCCCGCGAUCCUUGCGCAGUUCCUCGCCCACUGCUGCCUCUCCUCGUCUCGGUCUCGCCCUUCGCCUCGUCAGCACCGCCGUCGGAGUGCUGCGCCCCGCCCGGAGUUGCCGCGCCGUCGAGGUGAGCUCGCCCCGUCCUCUCUCCCCUUCCCCAUCCUCUCUCUCUCCCACCAAGGACCGUCCCCGCAGCCCCUCGUCGCGCCGUUCCACUUCGCCGGCGAGACCUCGCUCUGCAGCUGCCCAGCUUCGCGGCCAGGAGGCCCUGCGUGCGGCUGCUCCCCUGCCACGCAGCACCUAGCCUCGGCCAUCUGCGCAACGUGCCUGGCCCCUGCCUCGUCCUCGCCCCAGCCCCACCUCAACGUUCCUGCGGUGCACCCUGCUACGAGCACGGCCAGGAAGUUGUCUUGCCCUGCGCACGUCGCUCACCUAGCGGCCCUCGUGCCUCGCUAGCUGCCGUGGCCGCCUCUAUCGCGCAGCGCCUGCCCCACUCCGCCGUGGCCGAGUCGCUACGCGCUCGCAGCACGCCCAGCUGCUAAGCGUGCCUAGUGCAGCCCCUGCGCGCAACCCUCGCAUGCCCCUCGCCGUGCCUCGGACUCACCGUCAGCCGUGUCGCGCACGUCAAAUCGCGCGUGCGCAGCGCCUCGCCGUGCUCUCGCAGCCGUCAUCACGCAACUAGUGUGCGCGCUCGCGUUACCUUGCGCACAGUGCGUCGACGGGACCCCGUCUACCCCUCGUCUACCCCCAGUCUACCCCUCGUCUACCCCCCCCCCCCCGUGUGCAUUUGUGUCGCUUGCCAUCGCCCGCGCAUCGCACAUUAAAUCGUCGUGUGCCGUUCGCGCGUGUUGCGCGUGCUGUUCGCACGUGUCGUCGUGCGUUCUACGCACGUUAAUAGUUCGCCUCACCUAGAAUAGCUCGCACUAAUUAAAUACAUAUUUAAACAACGGUUAUUCGAGUAGCAAACUAGUCGGGACUAAGUAGUAAUUUUACUUGGCAUACAAUUAAUGUCUGUCAAUAUGAUUAAGCCGAAUUAAAUAUUACAAUUCAUAUCCGCUUAGUGUAAACGUGAUAUCCCUCGAUCGUAGCGUCGGUCGUCUCAGUUCCGUUCUCGCGUAGUCAUAGAUGCGAAUUCUAUGUUGCGUGUUUAUUUAUUUGAUCUAUAUUGUUGUAUGGUGUAUUGUUUCCUUCUGUUUCAAGAACGUUGGAUGUAUGUUUGCACUCGCGUAGAUAUCGGGCCGUUCGUGGAGUCUGAGGGAAUUGCAGGAGAAGACCCUGAGCAGCAGCAACUCGGUGAAGUCAAGUGUCCUCUGACCCAUUAUGUCCUAUCUAUUUAUAAUUCACUGUCCCGCACUACUUAAUUGAAACCUAAGGAUUGACUAGCUUUCUAUUUACCUUAUCCUUGUUUACCUUUCGGAUUAUCAUGGUUAGCUCUAUGCUGGUGCUUUACUCUAAUCAACGAACAUGAUGAGAAUUACUUUAUGAUACGAUGUUUUUAUUCUGGACAUGAUGGUGAUAUACUUGUGGCAUUUAAGGGGACUCGGGCUGUUUCCCGAGUACCUCUCCGUAAGGACCUGUUCGUUGAGAGACCACCCGGGAUAACAGUGCAACCAUGAGGGUGAAAUGGGAUGCCCUUAGCUAAUUAAUUAGAGGAACUAGAGGUGUAGUUGCUUCGUCGUCGUGCCGUUAAUGGGGUCCAGGCACAGUGCUUGCUCUGCCAAGGCUGAGUGCCGAGGUUCUUUCGUUUUGCUUUUGUUAGUCACCCUCCUGUGGGGAGAGGUACUGUGUUUAUCAAACUGGAGAAAACCUAAUGGGCGGCUAUGACCACUAGGGAAUCUUUGUAAAAGCUAAGUAGUGAUACCCUGCCAGACCACCUAGGUAGUGGUCAAUGGGGAUUAGCUCUCCUCGGGCAGAAAGGGAAUCAUGACUCGUGGGUAAAGUGUGCGACCUGUACAGAGGGUAGUGUAACUGAUAUAUCAGUCGUGCUCACGGUUCAGAGCAGCCUUGGGAUCAUCUUUGAUUAGAGAUACUCCGGAUGCACCUCAGAUGAUGACUCUAAUGAUGAUGGUUAAUGAUGGUGACUUUAAUUAUGUAUUCUAGUAUUUCCUCUCUGAGGAGGUACUUUUUGGGAUUAUAACUUGGAUUUUAUGAUAAAAUCUGGCUUCCACUAACAAUAAAUACCUGACCAACUAAAAGCAACUGCUUGAGCCUAA
rnacentral:lncRNA from 1 species